rnacentral:rRNA from 1 species
CAUCCUCCAAGGCUAAAUACUCCUGACUGACCGAUAGUGAACCAGUACCGUGAGGGAAAGGCGAAAAGAACCCCGGCGAGGGGAGUGAAAAAGAACCUGAAACCGUGUACGUACAAGCAGUGGGAGCACAGGUUUACCUGUGUGACUGCGUACCUUUUGUAUAAUGGGUCAGCGACUUAUAUUCUGUAGCAAGGUUAACCGAAUAGGGGAGCCGGAGGGAAACCGAGUCUUAAUUGGGCGUUAAGUUGCAGGGUAUAGACCCGAAACCCGGUGAUCUAGCCAUGGGCAGGUUGAAGGUUGGGUAACACUAACUGGAGGACCGAACCGACUAAUGUUGAAAAAUUAGCGGAUGACCUGUGGCUGGGGGUGAAAGGCCAAUCAAACCGGGAGAUAGCUGGUUCUCCCCGAAAGCUAUUUAGGUAGCGCCUCGUGAAUUCAUCUCCGGGGGUAGAGCACUGUUUCGGCUAGGGGGCCAUCCCGGCUUACCAACCCGAUGCAAACUGCGAAUACCGGAGAAUGUUAUCACGGGAGACACACGGCGGGUGCUAACGUCCGUCGUGAAGAGGGAAACAACCCAGACCGCCAGCUAAGGUCCCAAAGUCAUGGUUAAGUGGGAAACGAUGUGGGAAGGCCCAGACAGCCAGGAUGUUGGCUUAGAAGCAGCCAUCAUUUAAAGAAAGCGUAAUAGCUCACUGGUCGAGUCGGCCUGCGCGGAAGAUGUAACGGGGCUAAACCAUGCACCGAAGCUGCGGCAGCGAACGUAUCACUUAAAGCGAUUCAGCGGGUUACGAUUGACGGAGCGAAGCGACGUCAAAGCGUAUACAAAGUCGAGUCGGUUUAAGGAUACGUUCGUUGGGUAGGGGAGCGUUCUGUAAGCCUGUGAAGGUGGCCUGUGAGGGUUGCUGGAGGUAUCAGAAGUGCGAAUGCUGACAUAAGUAACGAUAAAGCGGGUGAAAAGCCCGCUCGCCGGAAGACCAA